UAAAAGUGUUAAUUUUUAGUACACCCUGCUCAAUGAGUUUUAAAUAGCCGCAAAUUUUGUGCUAAGGUAGCAUAAUCAUUUGCCUAAUAAUUAUAGGAUAGUAUGAAGGGGUUAACAUGUAAUCUCCUCUAUCAAGAAAAUUUUUCUAAUUUAUGAAGUAAGUAAAAACUCUUACAAAAUUAGGGGGACGAUAAGACCCUGUCAAACUUAACUUUAAAGUUUAGCUGGGGCGGCAGAAAAUUAAACCUUUAAUAUUAACAAUCUAAUAAAACCUAAACAGUAGAUGGAACAAGUUACUGCAGGGAUAACAGCACAAUCACCCCUAAAAGACCUUAUAAAAGGGGUGGCUUGUGACCUCGAUGUUGAAUUAAAGAUCUUUUAGAGGCAGCCUUCUAAUAAGAAAGUCCGUUCGACUUUUAAUCCAUU
rnacentral:rRNA from 1 species